AUUGAACGCUGGCGGCAUGCCUUACACAUGCAAGUCGAACGGUAACAGGUCUUCGGAUGCUGACGAGUGGCGAACGGGUGAGUAAUACAUCGGAACGUGCCUAGUAGUGGGGGAUAACUACUCGAAAGAGUGGCUAAUACCGCAUGAGAUCUACGGAUGAAAGCAGGGGAUCGCAAGACCUUGUGCUACUAGAGCGGCCGAUGGCAGAUUAGGGAGUUGGGGGGAUAAAAGCUUACCAAGCCGACGAUCUGUAGCCGGCAUGAGAGGACGAUCAGCCACACUGGGACUGAGACACGGCUCAGAGUCAUACGGGAGGCAGCAGUGGGGAAUUUUGGACAAUGGGCGCAAGCCUGAUCCAGCAAUGCCGCGUGCAGGAUGAAGGCCUUCGGGUUGUAAACUGCUUUUGUACGGAACGAAAAGCCCCGGGUUAAUACCCUGGGGUCAUGACGGUACCGUAAGAAUAAGCACCGGCUAACUACGUGCCAGCAGCCGCCGUAA
rnacentral:rRNA from 1 species